GGUAAAUACAACAAUGUGGAUUUCUACACUUUUUAAUUUCUCCUCAUAAGCAUAUGAAUUAAUUAUAGGUGAUAGUAAACAUGAGAAUUCAUGAGACCUGGAAUUUCCCCUCUCAACACUUUAGGUUGAUUUGUGUAACACUCCAAGCACCAUAACCACUGCAGUACCAGGAGUGUCUUUGCGCCCUCCAAGAGUAAUUUAUUUAACCAUUUCAGAACAAUUUGACAAUUUACCUGGGGCCUUAGAUGUCCAUGUCAUAUCUGGUCAUGUCUUGCAGGAGAAACUGGUUGGGUCUAUCCAGCCAAAAAGACCAUGUUCCUAGCUGACAUUGAUUUGCUGAUGCUCAGUGGGGUUAGCCAAAUUUUCCUGCAAUUGGAAUCCAGAAUCUGGGACUGGAGCCACUCGAGUUUACUAUGAGAGAGCAUCAAGACACUAAAGGCACCAUAACCACUGCAGCAGGCUGUGGAGAUUAUGGUGUUGGUGUGUUCCAUUAAGUCGGCUUGGAGAAACCUUACUUGCUUUAAAAAAUACUUUUUUGAUAAAAUAAACACAAUGAAAUCUCGCCCCAUACUUCGUACCCACAAAAAUAUUAGAAUGCCCCACCUUAAACCAGAAAGUGCUGAUAUGGACAGGUGCGAUCGAAGUUCCCUCCCCCCCAGGUUGAUAAAACCCAUUUCCUAUUUGUUAUUCCAAAUAAUAUCAAAGCCUAAUGCUGAUGGGUAUCCGAGAGGACAGGUCUGUCUGGCUCAGUGGAUUGUUUUGUCUGUGAGAUUAUUAGAUGAAUGGGAAAGGUGACUUUAGAGUCCUUGCUGUCCAAAAACAUGUACUCUCUCUGUCUCUGCAUUGAUUCAAGUCCUGCAGACUAGGAUAUCCAGCUAUACGGCUGUUAGCAUCAGUCUAGAAGGCCUGGUCUAUCCUGCAGACUAGGAUAUCCAGCUAUACGGCUGUUAGCAUCAGUCUAGAAGGCCUGGUCUACUAACUACAAUAAGUGCUCAACCAGGGAACUCCCAGGGGGGCUGUUAGGGCUGUUAAAUUAGAUGUAAUGGAAGACACUGAUAAAAUCAAGAUAUUCUAAACUUAAACAUCUCAAUAUGAACAUUAUAACAAGAAAU